AUGCAUUUACCAAUAACACAUGGUCCCUGCACUCAAGAAAUAUAUAAUCCUAUGGGUCAUUCUGACAGAUAAAACAGACAUGUACAACCUAUGAGGUGUGAAAAGGGACUACAUAGAAGGACACUUGUCAGGGAGUUAGAGGAGAGAAGGCAUCACAUGAAUUUCUCACCUUUAUCACCCAGGUCUUGCUUUGUCACCUAGGAUGGAGUGCAGUGGCACAAUUAUGGCCCACUGUGGCCUGGAAUUCCUGGGCUCAAUGGAUCCUCCCACCUCAUCCUCCUGAGUAGCUGAGACUAUAGGGAUAAAAACUGAGUGACAGUAAAACUAAAACAGCUUUUUUACUAUUUACGUAAAGCCUCCUUCAUGCAUCAAACAAUGCCCAGAAUAAUGUCAAAACAUGUAGAGAAAGAAAAAUAGCACCCACCUCCUCAUUAAUUAUGGAGCUUUCAGAGCCCUGUGAUGAUGUGCAUUUGGGAUUAUUCUGGGAGCUACUGAAUCAAAACAGGACAGCUAAGAUCAAGCAGAAUCCUGGGAGCCAGAGGAGGUCAGCAUAAUUUUGAGCUGCAGGAGCCUCUGGUGUUUGAAAAAAUGGACAGUGUCUUCUAAUAACUCUUUAGCAAAAAUAAAUAAAUAAAUAAAUAAAUUCAAUGUUCC
rnacentral:lncRNA from 1 species